UACAGAGGUCUCAAGCGUUGUUCGGAUUCAUUGGGCGUAAAGGGUGCGUAGGCGGCGCGGUAAGUCGGGUGUGAAAUCUCGGAGCUUAACUCCGAAACUGCAUUCGAUACUGCCGUGCUUGAGGACUGGAGAGGAGACUGGAAUUUACGGUGUAGCGGUGAAAUGCGUAGAUAUCGGGAGGAACACCUGUGGCGAAAGCGGCUCACUGGACCAUUACUGACGCUGAUGCUCGAAAGCUAGGGGAGCAAACAGG
rnacentral:rRNA from 1 species